GCAUAACUGACAACAAAGGCAUUACAUGGUGUAUGCCCUGCAUAUUCUGCAGACUACUCCUUGCCUUUGCAAGUUAUUUCCAACUUCUUCUGAAAAUGCCGUGUGAUCAGUUGAUGAUCUUUUUUUAUUUAUUAAUAGCCUAUAAAAUUAAGCAUGUAAUCAAAGAAUGAAUCCUUUCCCAAAAGUGCAAGGUGGGAUGAAUUAGAUCAGUGGUACAAAAGCAGAUGUUCUUUAUUGCAAUAGGCCUUUCUUUGGAUACUCUGGGAAGAAGGAACCAAAACAAAACACUAAAUUGAAGAGGAUUCAGAGGCGCAAUCACUACCAGCCACUUUUCAUAUGCAAAGCAUGCAUCAGCCACAUCCAUGCUAUCUCCUAAAGCAGUCAUUCUGAAACCCAAUCUGGGGACAGUGCAGACUAAAUAAAAUUUCAUUUUGAUUUGGCCUCCCGCUGAGAAUGGGACUGCUUUGUUUCAGCCGACAGAACCAGCAAGCCAGAAAGGUGUUGAAUACACAAAUACUGACUUAACGGACAAUUAUAAAGUGGCUAAUGCUGAGAAGCAAAAGGCUGUGACCACCAAUCUGAUGCAGGAAACAGGGGCAAGGAGAACUAUCAAAACUUAUGUUCAUUCUCAAAAUGAGCACCUGAACUUCCUAAACUUCCAAGCUCACAGCUGCUUGUGGCAGUAUGUGAAUGGCAGCUGUCUCACUGGAGAAGAGAUUCCGCCUUGCAGUCCUGGAGGAACGCUUGGACUCAGCACAGUCCCAGACAGCCCCUCAAGAUCCUAGAUGAAGGAUGACACUGGAAGAGGGACAGCAUCUGCACCACUUCCAUUUUCAGAACAAAGAAUUUGAGUUUCAGACCUGAAGGAGCUGGAGGGGUUCAUGUGACACAUUUGUCUGUGUUCAGUACACAUAUCAUGAAUGCGGUGAGAGAUAAAAGAAGCAAUAUAGUUGGGAUGCUCAAGCUUUCAAAACCUGCUUUCAUUUUAAGCAAGAAACGCCUCUUAAAACACAUAUUAUGGGACCAGAUGAACAUGUCCUUCAGACUUGGAGAAGUAUUUAAAAUGUUCCAGUAGAUGAAGCUACAGUGCAAGCACAGAAGAAAGAAACAUUUUUCCUCCAAAAAUUUGGUGGAGCUUGUGUGCCCAAAACAGAGUUUUCUUACUCCUUGAACAAGUCCAGCUCAUCCUAUUAUCCUUGGAAAAGCUGGGAAAAAAAGAUAUUGGGAGAGCCCGCAAGAUAAGCAAUCAGCUUGUAGCAGACUUGCAGUUUUGAAGAACAGAUGAUUCAGUCACUGGGAGUCUGCUCUGCAUCAGUAGUAUCUGUUCUAUAGCAACUACAGAUGAGCAGAAACAGUAGGUUUUUUUUUAGUUAAUCUGUAGAAACUUUUCUACAUGCCACAGUGACCAAAAUUGAUUAUAUGGACUUUUAUUUCAGUAUUUUCUUUGGGUCCUAUUAUGUGGUAAAGAUGACUGAUUAUAGUAAAAGAAAAAAAAAUAGAUUAAGAAAAAUCUAUAGAAGAGAUUAUGUGCCAAAAAAAAAAAAAAAAAAAAAAAAAAACCUGUCCAUACACAGAGAUUCAACAACAUAGCACGAAUAUGGAUACAUACCAAUUGAAUCACUUUCACAGAAGUGCUGAAUUAAACUUUAAGAAUAAUUUGACAAGAUUUGUGAUGUAGUGAUUUUUUAUGGUAAAGGAUUCUGUGGGAAUUGAUUUUUCAUUCAAUAAUAUUCAGAGGUGUUCUUGUCACUGUUUUAUGUAGACUGUUCACUUGGAGUUUCCUAAACUUCGUUCUCAUGUAGCUCGUUGUUCCUGAGGCUACUGCAUUUAGACCAUUCUCCAAUUGCUAUCAACGAAGUGCUGUUUGGUUUCUUGAGGAUGUGGCAGAAUGUGGCUGCGUCUGGCAAGAACACAGUGAAAAGUACCAUCAAAACACUGAGAUAAGAUAUGCACAUCCCACUCAUACAUACAUUAAUGUAUCUACUAUCAACUCAGCGGAAAACUAAGAAUGUCUGUUUUGUUUUGUUUAUUUUGUUUAUUUUUCCUACCUCAUUGCCAAGUGAGUUCUUCAAUAGGCUGAUGGCAGACCCAUUUUUUUUUAUUUUAGUAUUAGGGACAAGACUUUUAUCUCAAGUAGGAGGGCGCUUCACCUUCUCUGAGCCUCCUAGCCUUCAUUCCCACCAUCCUCCUAAAGAAAGCAUUUUUUUCUUCUUCCACCUCUUCUCCUGUGAACUUGCCCAUCUGUUUCUAUUUACUACCAGAUCCUCCCCUCCCACACUUCUCAUACAGCCGGUAAACCGCACAGUGCUGUUCUUCUGCCUCUUCCUCCCCCAGGACUCUGCUCAUGGAGUCUCUCUCCCUCUUUUUCCUGAGGACUUGCUUCAACAAGUAAGGGGGUGGCUUGCCCCAGGCUUACUGCCCCUGGGGUUUAAGUGGCAUCCUGCCUCUGGGCUAUGAGCGAUUCCCAAUCCACUGUGGUGGCCAACCUUGAAGCUCUGCUGACUCUCUGUCAGCUCCCCGCCACCCACAGGCUCCUCAGCUCAAAUCACAGAAUGAGACAUACUACAACACGCUCCAAGCAUCCGUGCAGUGGGAUUUCAUCAGCAGUGGUGCAAAACUGGUAUUUGCUUCUCUGGGAGGACAUCCCACUCUAGGACACAUAUCCACAUACGUGCAUGCCACAUUUCCAGUCAACAGCUCUUCAGUGAGUGUGUUGUUUCUUGCUCCUUCACCUGCCUGUGCUGGCUUUAAUCAGCUCAGAGCAAAGUGUUGUUUUCUUUAAUGUUUAUGCAAUGCUUAGUGCAAAGCCAAGGCCACUCAGAAAUAAAAAUGCUGUAUACAGACAGUGAAUGGGAGGACUUGAAAAUAGAGGAAGGAGACAAAACAGGAGGUGAUACAAUUUAUAUGCAUUUCUUUUUCAAAUAAAUAGCAGAAGUGGAUCAGGAAUUUGCAUCUUUCCUGUCAUAUCAUUGCAUGGGGGUUAGGAAAUGCUGCCUGAAAGUAAAAGCUGAGCUGUGGAAACUCACGAAAAGAAAAUACUUCCCCUCCCCAUCCUCAGUGUGUAAUUAGCCUGUGGCAGUAAUUGCCCUUGUGUGACACUGAGGCCAAGGUCUCUGUAAAGCGGUUAUACAGAUAGUACAAAAUUCUUGCAGCUAUCUAUAUUAUAAGAGGGAUACCAACCCUUCAGGCUUUAGGUUAGUCUCUGUUAAAGAACAGGAGGAGACCUGAUACACUGUUACUUUCAGAGAGACUGAAUAUUAGACCUGAGAGACCCUUCAUCUAAUCCUAUGCCACAUUUUUAAGGUAAAGAAGGGAAAGAUCAUAGGACAGAGCAACACAACAGGAAAUAAAACCAGGCAUUUUUUCUUCUGAGUGUACAAUGGAUGCUACUGGCUGCAACCAAUGCUUCUCGGGUCCUUCUCUUUCUGAAAGCAGAAGGUUGGAGGGUCAAACGGAAAAGAGUGGUAGGGAAAAAAGAUUCAGCAGAAUAUAAAGAGCAUAAAAGAAUGAGAAUGACAAAGCACAGAGCUGGUGUUUAAGUAAACUCUCUUUUAUUUAUUGUAAUUUAAUCUUUCAGCAGGACUCUCUGUGUUGUUUGGUUUGGUUUAUUUUGUUUUGUUUUGUUUUGUUUUUAAUUAUUUAGAGACUGCAUACUUACCUUUGUUUCAUAGAGGUAGGUUUUUGAGGAUCAUAUUCUUUGACCUGGAAGCUACUUUUAUGGUUUUUCUAGGUGAUCAUCUAUAUACCACUAAGUCUGAUUUUGUUCCCAGUUCCAUUUACAGUAAUAUUAAUUUAUUACUACAAUUAAUCAAUCCUGGAAAGGAUUGUCCAGUAAUUAGUAACUUGUGAAGAUCAGAUAUUGUGUCCUGUUACAGUUAGAGAACACAUAAAUUAUAAAGACCACUAUUUUUGUGCCAGUUGUAAAAACAAAGCAUGUACUUAAUAAAAAGUCUAUUAAAUAAGUCAUAAUUGAAUGGCAUCUAAUUAAUGCAUAAAGUGAUAGUGAACAUUCUGAACAGGCUAGCAAGCCAAAGACUUGUUGAAGUUUGCUAAAUUCCAUUUGGUUUUGCUGUCAUUUUCUCCCGUGUCUCUCAAGGUUCCCAUCCCUCCAUCUGUGACUCCUCCCACCCCCCAAAAAAAAUAAGGAAGAAACUACCUGUUUUAAUACAAAAUACUAAGACAAAUAUUACAUUUAAUACAUCACUGACCCAUCUGAGAUUGUAACUGAAAGCAGUCUUACUUAAGAACUUAAGCAACUUGUUACAAACUCGACCACUGUCAUUGCAUAGUGCGCAUUUGCUGAGGAACAGUUCUGAACCAUGCGUUGGAGACACUUUUUUUCCAAUAGUUCUGGACUCUUUUCAGCUCAAGAGAGCUUGAUGUCUUUCAAAAACUGCACAUUUAAAAUAAUGGAGCCUAGAACCAGAUUCCAUCCCCAGAAAUCAAAAGUAUAGAAUAAAUGAAUAGUAUUCUGCAUACUUUUUAUCCUGUGUUUUCUGUUGAACUAACAGCUCACAAUUAUUCCAAGGAACAUUGCAGGGAGAGCUAGUGAAACCUUAAAACACUGAAAAUUAAGUCUGGGACAGAGAUACCACAUGCACACAUUAAUCUCAAGGAGCUAUUCGAGUGUUUCUGAGUCUUGUCUAGAUGGUUAUUUUGCAAGGCCUGGUGUUCAUGCAAGACAGUAAUUGCAGCAUAAACAAGUAACGAGUAAAUGUAUCUUUAUAGGGGUUAUUCAGCUUUCUAUCCUACUGUUUUCUCCUUUAUAUUAGCCCCUAUUCCAUGCCCCAGGGCUCCUUACCAGCUCCUCAUUAAGGCAUGCACCUUCUUGUGG
ensembl:lncRNA